rnacentral:rRNA from 1 species
AUAGGGAGUCGGACCUGCCCAGUGAAUAAUUUUAAACGGCCGCGGUACUCUGACCGUGCAAAGGUAGCAUAAUCAUUUGCCCUAUAAUUGAGGGCUAGUAUGAAUGGUUUGACAAGAAUAAAACUGUCUCCAUACAAUUAUAUAGAAUUUUAUUUUUAGGUGAAGAAGCCUAGAUUAAAUUAAAAGACAAGAAGACCCUAUCGAGCUUUAAAACAAUUAAUAAGUUAGUUUGUAUAAUUAUAAAACAAUAUUUAUUUAAAAUUUUGGUUGGGGCGACUGAGGAACAAAUAAAGCUUCUUUUAAAUUAAAAAUUACAAACAAGUAUUGAUCCAAAAAAUUUGAUUAAAGAAAUUAGUUACCGUAGGGAUAACAGCAUUAUCUUUUUUGAGAGCCCAUAUCGAAAAAAAGGUUUGUGACCUCGAUGUUGGACCAGAAUAUCCUAAAGAUGUAGAAGUCUUUAAGGGUUGGUCUGUUCGACCAUUAAAAUUCUA